UACGUAGGUGGCAAGCGUUGUCCGGAUUUACUGGGCGUAAAGAGCGCGCAGGCGGUCGUUCAAGUCGGGUGUGAAAGCCCCCGGCUCAACUGGGGAGGGUCACGCGAUACUGCUCGACUCGAAGGCAGGAGAGGGUAGUGGAAUUCCCGGUGUAGUGGUGAAAUGCGUAGAUAUCGGGAGGAACACCAGUGGCGAAGGCGACUACCUGGCCUGUUCUUGACGCUGAGGCGCGAAAGCUAGGGGAGCAAACGGG
rnacentral:rRNA from 1 species